AACUUUCAAACAAACCGAAUCUCUGGGGCUCUCGCAUUCGAAUGAAAGAAACGCAGGCGAAAAUGCGANACCGUAAAUGUGAAUUUGCAGGAAUUUCAGGUGAAUUCAUCAAAUUCCUUUGAACCGCAUUAUUGCGCCUCCUUGGGUAUUUCCGAAAGAGCCAUGCCCUGUUUUUGAGUAUUCGGUUAAAAC
rnacentral:rRNA from 1 species